CGUCUUUAAUCACACUGACAGCAUCUUCAUCAUCAUCAUCAUCAUCAUCAUCAUCAUCAUCAUCAGAUCAGAAUGCUGUGUUUGAUGGUCAUUGGAUUUCUUUUAUCCUGUGCAGAUUGUACCAAGUCAUAUCAGAGAAAAACUCUACACCAGAUGAACAGAGCUGCUUUUAAGGGGGAAACUGUUGUUUUUCACUGCAAUGGAACUCUGACUAGUGAACUUAAAGAUAUUGGUUGGCGUAAAGAUGGGAAUCUUAUUUUUAUCCAGAGCUCAGUUAUAAACCAAACUGUGUUCAACUACACAUCGAGCAGGAUGCAGGUUAAUCCCCGAAAUCCAAGAGAACUACAGAUAUCUGAUGUACAGCUUUCAGAUAAAGGAUUAUACUUAUGUCUUCCAUUAGACAUGCAGUGGAUAUUAACUAUAGAAGAGAAUGAAAUACAGACCAGCAAAGGAAGGCUAUCCUACAUAGUUUUCUCAGUAAUCACAGUGUGUGUCUCAGUGUGUCUCUUUAUCUUCUGUGCCGUGUGUCUUCACAGAAAACAAGAAAACAGAGGAGCCUCAGAUCAAACACACACGGGCAAUAAGCUUGCAAACACAGAUUCUCUCCAUCACAGUGAGACAAUAACUUCCUGUGUAAGUUUCUCACCAUGAACCCACCCAGUUACACAACUCUCACCUUUCACUCACUCGCCCUGAUAUAAUAAUCUCAAUUUAUGAUGUAGUCAAGCUAUGCUAUACUGCUUUAUUUUACUUUACUAAUUUUACGUUUAUUUUUUUCACAGGUCUACAUCAUGACAAGCUCAAAUAAUGUUGCCAUAGACUAAAAUUGAGCAACAUGUCGCCAUCACGUCCUUCUACAGAAAUGUUUCUAUGAUGCUCAUAUUCACAGGCAUAUAAACCUUUUUACUGUGCAAUGAAAUCUGGAUAAUUAAAACAUUUAGAAAACAGUCUUGUCAUAUGUUUGUUGCUCAAAUAUAACAGUCAAAUGCUUAUUGAAAAAAAAAAAAGGAAUAAAGUUUAAAGAACGCUUAAUUAGAUUAGUGGAAAAACUGCA
ensembl:lncRNA